AUUUUUAUUGGCCAAAAAAAUAAACAUUAAAAAUAAUAGAUCAAAAACACUUUCCUUUUCUGAAGAUCUUUCCCUUUUCCUUUCCCUUUCAUUAAAAAUUAUACAUUAAAAACAUUAAUCGAGCUUUCCCUUUCCCUUUCAUUUGCUGAAGAUCGAGCUUUCUCUUUCCCUUUCCCUUUCCUUUGUUGCCGAUCGAGCUUUUCCUUCAAGUCACUCUUCCCUUUCCUUCUCCGAGCUGAAGAACUUAUAAUUUCUCUUCUCUGAGCUGAAGAUCGAACUGAAGAUGAAGAUCGAGCUGCAUAACUCACCGAGCUAACCGAGCUUUCUCUUCUCCGAGCUAAAGAUUUCAUCAAGGUAAGAGCUGAAGAUUUCAUCAAGCUUCUUCAUAUUGAAUGAAUUUUUGUUUUUUUUUUGUUUGGAAGGAAUUGAUUGGGGUUGUUGGCAAGAUGAACUGAAGUUAAGUCUCUCCGUCACACUUUUCUCUCAGACUUCUUGUUGCAGAACUUGAUUUCAGACAGAUUUAGGGUUUACCGGGAAGAAAUUUUGGUUCCAACAUUUAAAUUUGCAACUACUUUUUGGUGCCUCAACUCUACAAGUGACGAGACUUAAUCGUUUAGCGUGAGAGAUAAAGAAUAAAUAGCCCUUGAGAUAAAAAAAUUUGGUGUCUUGAUUGGUUGUCAUCUUUGUGAUGACUUAUUCUAUUAUUUAUACUUUAGUGAUGAGAUAAGUUAUUUCAUAUAUAUGAUGAGAUAAGUUAUACAUGAA